rfam:Ictidomys tridecemlineatus contig085039, whole genome shotgun sequence.
AGGGAUGUGGCUCAAGCAGUAGGGCGCUCGCCUGGCAUGCGUGCCGCCUGGGUUCGAUCCUCAGCAUCACAU